rnacentral:rRNA from 1 species
AGAGUUUGAUCCUGGCUCAGGACGAACGCUGGCGGCGCGCUUAACACAUGCAAGUCGAGCGAGAACCAGCCCUUCGGGGCUGGGGACAGCGGCGAACGGGUGAGUAACACGUGGGUAAUCUGCCCUCGGUUUCGGGAUAGCCCGGGGAAACCCGGAUUAAUACCGAAUGGCCUCUCGUUCCUUCGGGAGCGUGGGAAAAGGUAGCUUCGGCCUCCGACCGAGGAUGAGCCCGCGGCGGAUUAGCUUGUUGGUGAGGUAACGGCUCACCAAGGCGACGAUCCGUAGCUGGUCUGAGAGGACGAUCAGCCACACUGGGACUGAGACACGGCCCAGACUCCUACGGGAGGCAGCAGUGGGGAAUCUUGCGCAAUGGGCGAAAGCCUGACGCAGCGACGCCGCGUGCGGGAAGAAGGCCUUCGGGUUGUAAACCGCUUUCAGGAGGGACGAAGCCACUCGGGUUAAUAGCCCAGAGGGUGACGGUACCUCCAGAAGAAGCCCCGGCUAACUACGUGCCAGCAGCCGCGGUAAUACGUAGGGGGCAAGCGUUGUCCGGAUUUAUUGGGCGUAAAGAGCGUGUAGGCGACCAGGUAGGUCUGACGUGAAAUCUCGAGGCUCAACCUCGAGCGGUCGUUGGAAACCCGUCUGGCUAGAGUCCGGAAAGAGGAGAGUUGGAAUUCCCUGGUGUAGCCGGUUGAAAUUGCCGCAGAUAUCAGGAAAGAACACCUAUGGCGAAGGCAGCUUCUCUGGGACGGUUACUGACGCUUGAGACGCCGAAAGCGUGGGGGGAGCGAAACAGGAAUUUAAGAUACCCCNGGGUAGUCCACGCCCGUUAAACGAUGGGUGCUAGGUGUGGCGGUGUCGACUCCGUUCCGUGCCGCAGCUAACGCAUUAAGCACCCCGCCUGGGGAGUACGGCCGCAAGGCUAAACUCAAAGGAAUUGACGGGGGCCCGCACAAGCAGCGGAGCAUGUGGUUUAAUUCGACGCAACGCGAAGAACCUUACCAGGGCUUGACAUGCACUGGAAUGCCGUGGAAACACGGCAGCCCUUCGGGGCCAGUGCACAGGUGGUGCAUGGCUGUCGUCAGCUCGUGUCGUGAGAUGUUGGGUUAAGUCCCGCAACGAGCGCAACCCCUGUCCUAUGUUGCCAGCGAGUGAUGUCGGGGACUCAUAGGAGACUGCCGGUGACAAACCGGAGGAAGGUGGGGAUGACGUCAAGUCAUCAUGCCCCUUAUGUUCUGGGCUACACACGUGCUACAUUGGCCGGUACAAAGGGCUGCAAACCCGUGAGGGGGAGCGAAUCCCAAAAAGCCGGUCCCGGUUCGGAUUGGAGGCUGAAACUCGCCUCCAUGAAGGCGGAGUUGCUAGUAAUCGCGGAUCAGCAAUGCCGCGGUGAAUACGUUCCCGGGCCUUGUACACACCGCCCGUCACACCACGAAAGCCGGCAACACCCGAAGCCGGUGUCCUAACCCGCAAGGGAGGGAGCCGUCGAAGGUGGGGUUGGUGAUUGGGGUGAAGUCGUACAAGGUAGCCGUAGCGGAAGCUGCGGCUGGAUCACCUCC